rnacentral:rRNA from 1 species
UACGUAGGGGGCUAGCGUUGUCCGGAUUUAUUGGGCGUAAAGAGCUCGUAGGUGGUUCGGUUAGUCGGAUGUGAAAUCUCCAGGCUCAACCUGGAGGGGUCAUUCGAUACUGCCGUGACUAGAGUUCGGUAGAGGAGUGUGGAAUUCCUGGUGGAGCGGUGAAAUGCGCAGAUAUCAGGAGGAACACCGAUGGCGAAGGCAGGUCUCUGGGCCACUACUGACGCUGAGAAGCGAAAGCAUGGGGAGCGAACAGG